rnacentral:rRNA from 1 species
UGCGUAGGCUGUCUAGAAAGUUGGAAGUGAAAGCCCAGGGCUCAACCCUGGAAUUGCUUUCAAAACUACUAGACUCGGAUUUGGGAGAGGAUAGCGGAAUUGUCAGUGUAGCAGUGAAAUGCGUAGAUAUUGACAGGAACACCAGUGGCGCAAGCGGCUAUCUGGACCAACAUCGACGCUGAGGCACGAAAGCGUGGGGAUCAAACA